UGCAUGCACAUAUUUCUUUUUUUAAAAUUGUUAUAUUUCCUCUCUCACUUUCCACUAGUGGUUUAUCAUUCUACAAAACAAGUGCACAUUUUUUCCUUUGACUGGUUCCACUCAAAAGCCACCUCUCGCUUAUUUCCUUCUUACUUCUUUUAGUGCUCAUUUCACCAUUAAAGUGCUUUAAAAGGUAUAAGGUUCAAAACAAGAUCAAUUAAGAACAAAAGGGUAUAGGCUUGUAAUAUCGGUGCCAAACAAAAUUCAAUAGGCUCAAAAGGGUUAACUAGGGAUAAAUUUAUUUCUGAUCAACGAUUAACUCAAAAAAGGUCAAAGAAAACCUAAGAUCAUUUUACAAACCGAGCAUCACCCAAAAUUUCACUUCAACUCACAUAUCGGGCAAGUUCUAGACACAAGUACAAGACAUGGACUAUACAAAUCCUCACCACUCAUGGCAUACGACUUAUUAAGAUAAGCUCAUCAAGAUGCUCCGUUACGAGCAUUCAAUUCAGUAACAAACAUACAGUAAGGCACAUCAGUGAGAUUCAACAAAUAACACUAACCGUUACACUCUAAGGGACUAUUGUGUUCAGGUGUGUCAAUGCUUCAGUUUCUCUUUUAGUUUUCUAGCUCGUAGCCCAUUACAC
rnacentral:lncRNA from 1 species